GAUGAACGCUGGCGGCGUGCCUAAUACAUGCAAGUCGAGCGAACGGACGAGAAGCUUGCUUCUCUGAUGUUAGCGGCGGACGGGUGAGUAACACGUGGAUAACCUACCUAUAAGACUGGGAUAACUUCGGGAAACCGGAGCUAAUACCGGAUAAUAUUUUGAACCGCAUGGUUCAAAAGUGAAAGACGGUCUUGCUGUCACUUAUAGAUGGAUCCGCGCUGCAUUAGCUAGUUGGUAAGGUAACGGCUUACCAAGGCAACGAUGCAUAGCCGACGUGAGAGGGUGAUCGCCCACACUGGAACGGAGACACGGUCCAGACUCCUACGGGAGGCAGCAGUAGGGAAUCGUCCGCAAUGGGCGAAAGCCUGACGGAGCAACGCCGCGUGAGUGAUGAAGGUCUUCGGAUCGUAAAACUCUGUUAUUAGGGAAGAACAUAUGUGUAAGUAACUGUGCACAUCUUGACGGUACCUAAUCAGAAAGCCACGGCUAACUACGUG
rnacentral:rRNA from 1 species